GACGAACGCUGGCGGCGUGCCUAAUACAUGCAAGUAGAACGCACAGUUUAUACCGUAGCUUGCUACACCAUAGACUGUGAGUUGCGAACGGGUGAGUAACGCGUAGGUAACCUGCCUGGUAGCGGGGGAUAACUAUUGGAAACGAUAGCUAAUACCGCAUAAUAUUAAUUAUUGCAUGAUAAUUAAUUGAAAGGUGCAAUUGCACCACUACCAGAUGGACCUGCGUUGUAUUAGCUAGUAGGUGAGGUAACGGCUCACCUAGGCGACGAUACAUAGCCGACCUGAGAGGAUGAUCGGCCACACUGGGACUGAGACACGGCCCAGACUCAUACGGGAGGCAGCAGUAGGGAAUCUUCGGCAAUGGACGAAAGUCUGACCGAGCAACGCCGCGUGAGUGAAGAAGGUUUUCGGAUCGUAAAGCUCUGUUGUAAGAGAAGAACGGGUGUGAGAGUGGAAAGUUCACACUGUGACGGUAUCUUACCAGAAAGAGACGGCUAACUACGUG
rnacentral:rRNA from 1 species